UCAGAAAAAACAAAUUAUAUGGAGUGAUAAUAGGGUACAAAUUAGAUGGAUGAGAGGCGCUCCCUGAUUAUUUAUACCAAAAUUAACUUCAAGUGAGACUCAAGCACUUUCAGGUUCUGGCUGUUAUCCUAAAUGCCUUCACCGGGGGAUGUAAAAUGCUAUUACUUUUUCCCCCUCACUUUGCUUCUGAUUUCCUAAGUUGAAUUAUCUCUAAUUUAGCUCUGUAAGAGUUUGAUCAAAAAAGAUCCCAAAGAUCAAGGAGGAUAUGAAUCUAUGUUCCAAGAGAAAAAUCAAAUAUAGCAUUUCUCAAAUAUGUUAGUAUCAGGUUUCCUAAAUCUAUUCUUUCUUCAUUCUCCAAUCCUGCUUGCAUCUGGCCCUGGAUGAAGUAAAUGCCAAGAACAGGAAAAGAGAAUGGACUCCAGGAAAGAUUUCUAGGAGAAGAAGCAACCACCAUGGGUGGGUGACAGUGAAUGGUACAUGCUAAAGAUGAUGGCUCAAGAAAAGAGAAUGGCCCCAGAUCUUCACGGCAUUGUGGAAUUGCCAUACCAGGCCUUGACUUCUUACCUCUAGAAGUUGGAUCAGGAUGUACUUCAGCAGAGUAAACCAAGGAAGACCACGAGGGAUUCAGGAAAUGUUCAUCUAACCCAAAAAUGUGUUCUAGAGGCUGGAAAGUGCAAGAUCAAGGUCCCGGAUGACUUUGUUCCUGGCGCGAGCCCUCGUCCUGGUUUGCAGACAGCUGUCUUCUCACUGUGUCCUCACGUGGUGGAGAAAGAGAGUGACUGCUUUGGUCCUUCUUCUUUUAAGGACACCAGUCCCAUCACAGGACCCUCACCUUCAUGACCUCACCCAAACCUAGUUAUCUUCUCACAAUCCCGCUUCCAAGUGCCGUAGGGAAUUACAGCUUCAACCGAAGAAUUUUGAAGGGACACAACAUUCUGUAACAAUGUUAAAUAUUUAUUAUUUCCUAUUGUGAGAUAAUUUUUAAAAAUUUCACAUAUAUUAAU